UACGUAGGGUGCAAGCGUUAAUCGGAAUUACUGGGCGUAAAGCGUGCGCAGGCGGUUAUGCAAGACAGAUGUGAAAUCCCCGGGCUUAACCUGGGAACCGCAUUUGUGACUGCAUAGCUGGAGUACGGCAGAGGGGGAUGGAAUUCCGCGUGUAGCAGUGAAAUGCGUAGAUAUCUGGAGGAAUACCGGUGGCGAAGGCGGCAUCCUGGACCGAGAUUGACGCUGAGGAGCGAAAGCUAGGGGAGCAAACGGG
rnacentral:rRNA from 1 species